GCCUGCAUGAAGCCGGAAUUGCUAGUAAUGGCAGGUCAGCAUACUGCCGUGAAUACGUUCCCGGGCCUUGUACACACCGCCCGUCACACCAUGAGAGUUGGGAAUACCCGAAGCCUGUGAGCUAACUUUUAGAGGCAGCAGUCGAAGGUAGAAUCAAUGAUUGGGGUGAAGUCGUAACAAGGUACC
rnacentral:rRNA from 1 species